rnacentral:rRNA from 1 species
UACGAAGGGGGCUAGCGUUGCUCGGAAUUACUGGGCGUAAAGCGCACGUAGGCGGCUCCUUAAGUCGGGGGUGAAAUCCUGGAGCUCAACUCCAGAACUGCCUUCGAUACUGGAGAGCUUGAGUCCGGGAGAGGUGAGUGGAACUGCGAGUGUAGAGGUGAAAUUCGUAGAUAUUCGCAAGAACACCAGUGGCGAAGGCGGCUCACUGGCCCGGUACUGACGCUGAGGUGCGAAAGCGUGGGGAGCAAACAGG